rnacentral:rRNA from 1 species
GACGAACGCUGGCGGCGUGCUUAACACAUGCAAGUCGAACGGAAAGGCCCUGCUUUUGUGGGGUGCUCGAGUGGCGAACGGGUGAGUAACACGUGAGUAACCUGCCCUUGACUUUGGGAUAACUUCAGGAAACUGGGGCUAAUACCGGAUAGGAGCUCCUGCUGCAUGGUGGGGGUUGGAAAGUUUCGGCGGUUGGGGGUGGACUCGCGGCUUAUCAGCUUGUUGGUGGGGUAGUGGCUUACCAAGGCUUUGACGGGUAGCCGGCCUGAGAGGGUGACCGGCGACAUUGGGACUGAGAUACGGCCCAGACUCCUACGGGAGGCAGCAGUGGGGAAUAUUGCACAAUGGGCGGAAGCCUGAUGCAGCAACGCCGCGUGCGGGAUGACGGCCUUCGGGUUGUAAACCGCUUUCGCCUGUGACGAAGCGUGAGUGACGGUAAUGGGUAAAGAAGCACCGGCUAACUACGUG